CAGCAGCCGCGGUAAUACGGAGGGUGCGAGCGUUAAUCGGAAUUACUGGGCGUAAAGCGUGCGUAGGCGGUUCGUUAAGUCAGAUGUGAAAGCCCUGGGCUCAACCUGGGAACUGCAUUUGAAACUGGCGAACUAGAGUUGAGUAGAGGGGAGUGGAAUUUCAGGUGUAGCGGUGAAAUGCGUAGAUAUCUGAAGGAACACCAGUGGCGAAGGCGACUCCCUGGACUCAAACUGACGCUGAGGUACGAAAGCGUGGGUAGCAAACAGGAUUAGAUACCCUGGUAGUCCACGCCGUAAACGAUGUCAACUAGCCGUUGGUCCUAUAUACAGGAUUAGUGGCGCAGCUAACGCAUUAAGUUGACCGCCUGGGGAGUACGGCCGCAAGGUUAAAACUUAAAGGAAUUGACGG
rnacentral:rRNA from 1 species